rnacentral:lncRNA from 10 species
UUAUCUAGAUUCAUAUAUACAAGACUGAAGAGUGAAGAGAGACCCAGAGAAUGUUCUAAAAUCUGCCAGUUAGCAUAAUCACACAGAGAAAUCUCUGCUUCCAGAGGAGGAGCCAAGUUCAAGUCAGAGUGUCUUCAUGUUGGAGUGGACCUUUCCUCUAUCUGUCAACAGAAUGGAUAAAUUGUGGAAGAGUAAUAUCAGAAUACUACACAUCAGUAAAAAACAACAAACUUCUGCUACAAACAAUCAACAUCGAUGAAUCUUUCAGGCAAAAGGGUUAAUGCCUACAAUAAGUGUUCUUGAAAUACAGUCACGCGUUGCUUAACCAUGGGGAUAUAUUCUGAUAAAUUCAUCAUUAGGCGAUUUCAUCACUGGGCGAACAUCACAGCUCGUACUCACACAAACCUAGAUGUCAUAGCCUACUACACACCUAGGCUAUAUGAUAUAGGCUAUUGCUAGCAACAAACCUGUACAGCAUGUUACUGUCUUGAAUACUUAGGCAGCAGAGCACAAUGGUAAGUAUUCGUGUAUCUAAACAUAUUUAAACAUAGAAGAACAGUAAAAAUAUGAUGUUAUAACCCUGUGGGACCACUGUUGCAUAUGUAGUCCAUUGCUGACUGAAAUGUCAUUCUGUGGUGCACGGCUGUAUUCG